GAUGAACGCUGGCGGCGUGCCUAAUACAUGCAAGUCGAGCGAACGGACGAGAAGCUUGCUUCUCUGAUGUUAGCGGCGGACGGGUGAGUAACACGUGGAUAACCUACCUAUAAGACUGGGAUAACUUCGGGAAACCGGAGCUAAUACCGGAUAAUAUUUUGAACCGCAUGGUUCAAUAGUGAAAGACGGUCUUUCUGUCACUUAUAGAUGGAUCCGCGCUGCAUUAGCUAGUUGGUAAGGUAACGGCUUACCAAGGCAACGAUGCAUAGCCGACCUGAGAGGGUGAUCGGCCACACGGGAACUGAGACACGGUCCAGACUCCUACGGGAGGCAGCAGUAGGGAAUCUUCCGCAAUGGGCGAAAGCCUGACGGAGCAACGCCGCGUGAGUGAUGAAGGUCUUCGGAUCGUAAAACUCUGUUAUUAGGGAAGAACAUAUGUGUAAGUAACUGUGCACAGCUUGACGGUACCUAAUCAGAAAGCCACGGCUAACUACGUG
rnacentral:rRNA from 1 species